rfam:Rattus norvegicus chromosome 11, whole genome shotgun sequence.
GGGGAUUUAGCUCAGUGGUAGAGUGCUUGCCUAGUAAGCGCAAGGCCCUGGGUUCGGUCCCCAGCUCCA